CGUUCCAACUCCUCGCGAAGAGUAGAAGAAAUUAAGAAGAAAAGAUACAAAUCUCCAUAAAAAUUUAUCAGAAAAAAGGAAGAAACAUUAUUCAAGGUACUGUUUUACUGUUCUUCUAGGUUUUUCUUCUAGAUUAUUGUCUCUGCCAUGUGUCUCAUCCUUAACCAGUAAAACAUUAAAAGAUUUCAAGAAGAAAUAUACUGUCUCCCCUUGUUUUGGGUUUAUUUCUUAAAUCAUUUGGGUGUAUUUCUGUAAUCUUUUGGGUAUAUUUCUAUAACCGUUUGGGUAUAUUUAUGUAAUCAUUUGGGUGUAUUUCUGAAGUUCCAUUAUCUUCAAAACAAUUUCAAAGCUUGAUUUUAGAAACCAUGAAAAU